rnacentral:rRNA from 1 species
UGCGCAGGCGGUUUUGUAAGACAGUGGUGAAAUCCCCGGGCUCAACCUGGGAACUGCCAUUGUGACUGCAAGGCUAGAGUGCGGCAGAGGGGGAUGGAAUUCCGCGUGUAGCAGUGAAAUGCGUAGAUAUGCGGAGGAACACCGAUGGCGAAGGCAAUCCCCUGGGCCUGCACUGACGCUCAUGCACGAAAGGCGUGGGAGCAAACA